rnacentral:rRNA from 1 species
UACAGAGGGUGCAAGCGUUAAUCGGAUUUACUGGGCGUAAAGCGUGUGUAGGUGGCUGUUCAAGUCGGUUGUGAAAUCCCCGGGCUCAACCUGGGAAUUGCUUCCGAGACUGAAUGGCUAGAGUACGGUAGAGGGCGGUGGAAUUUCCGGUGUAGCGGUGAAAUGCGUAGAUAUCGGAAGGAACACCAAUGGCGAAGGCAGCCGCCUGGGCCUGUACUGACACUGAGACACGAAAGCGUGGGGAUCAAACAGG